AUACUGCAGGUCUUGAGUCAUGGUGGGGUUGCCGGAACAUGUGGUGUAGCGGUGAAAUGCAUAGAUAUCACAUAGAACACCGAUCGCGAAGGCAGGUGACCAACCAUGUACUGACGCUGAUGGACGAAAGCGUGGGUAGCGAACGGGAUUAGAUACCCCGGUAGUCCACGCCGUAAACGAUGGAUACUAGCUGUGGGGACUUCGGUCUCCGUGGCCAAGCGAAAGUGAUAAGUAUCCCACCUGGGGAGUACGUUCGCAAGAAUGAAACUCAAAGGAAUUGACGGGGGCCCGCACAAGCGGUGGAGCAUGUGGUUUAAUUCGAUGAUACGCGAGGAACCUUACCAGGGCUUAAAUGCAGGCUGCAUGGGGUAGAGAUACCCCUUUCUUCGGACCGCCUGCAAGGUGCUGCAUGGUUGUCGUCAGCUCGUGCCGUGAGGUGUCAGGUUAAGUCCUAUAACGAGCGCAACCCCUACCGUUAGUUGCCAGCAUGUCAAGAUGGGGACUCUAACGGGACUGCCGGUGCAAACCGUGAGGAAGGUGGGGACGACGUCAAAUCAUCACGGCCCUUACGUCCUGGGCUACACACGUGCUACAAUGGCCGGUACAGAGGGAAGCCACCCCGCAAGGGGGCGCGGAUCUACAAAACCGGUCACAGUUCGGAUCGGGGUCUGCAACUCGACCCCGUGAAGCUGGAAUCGCUAGUAAUCGGAUAUCAGCCAUGAUCCGGUGAAUACGUUCCCGGGCCUUGUACACACCGCCCGUCAAGCCAUGGAAGCCGGGAGUGCCUGAAGUCCGUCACCGAGAGGAG
rnacentral:rRNA from 1 species